rnacentral:rRNA from 1 species
AUUGAACGCUGGCGGCAGGCCUAACACAUGCAAGUCGAACGAGUGGCGGACGGGUGAGUAAUGUCUGGGAAACUGCCUGAUGGAGGGGGAUAACUACUGGAAACGGUAGCUAAUACCGCAUACCAUCGGAUGUGCCCAGAUGGGAUUAGCUAGUAGGUGGGGUAAAGGCUCACCUAGGCGACGAUCCCUAGCUGGUCUGAGAGGAUGACCAGCCACACUGGAACUGAGACACGGUCCAGACUCCCACGUGAGGCAUAAGUGGGGAAUAUUGCACAAUGGGCGCAAGCCGGAUGCGGCCAUGCCGGGUGGAUGAAGAAGGCCUUCGGGUGGUAAAGUACUUUCAGCGGGGAGCCGGUACCAGCAGAAGAAGCACCGGCUAACUCCGUGCCAGCAGCCGCGGUAAUAC